rnacentral:tRNA from 1 species
CGCAAAAUGGCUGAAACUUGUAGGCGGUUGGUUGUAAACCUUCUUAUGGGACCUCUCUUUUGUGA